GAUGAAGAACGCAGCGAACUGCGAUAAGUAAUGUGAAUUGCAGAAUUCAGUGAAUCAUCGAGUCUUUGAACGCACAUUGCGCCCCCUGGCAUUCCGGGGGGCAUGCCUGUCCGAGCGUCAUUGCUGCCCUUCAAGCCCGGCUUGUGUGUUGGGUCGUCGUCCCCCCCGGGGGACGGGCCCGAAAGGCAGCGGCGGCACCGCGUCCGGUCCUCGAGCGUAUGGGGCUUUGUCACCCGCUCGAUUAGGGCCGGCCGGGCGCCAGCCGGCGUCUCCAACCUUCUAUUUUACCAGGUUGACCUCGGAUCAGGUAGGGAUACCCGCUGAACUUAAGCAUAUAAUAAGCGGAGGA
rnacentral:misc_RNA from 1 species